rnacentral:lncRNA from 1 species
AGCUAGUAGAAAUUAAGAAAAGUGGAGAUGAUGCCAAGAUCUGUGUCCUUGAAAAGGUGCAACUCCUUCAGUGCCAGAUUUCUGUGUUCUUCAACAUCUUCCUUGCUCAAAGCCCUCUGGGCCAUUCCCCUCAUCAUCCCCAUAUGAAACCCAAACCUUCUCAGCCGUUCAAUCUCCUCCUCACUCCCACCGCCCACCACCGCACCACAGGCGGCGCCACAUGCAUGCAACCCACCCUCCCCUUUCUCCACCACGCGCUUCACGCUCUCCACCUCCCCCUCAACAGUUUUCUUCAUGUGCAGCGAAUCUAUCAGCCCUCCCGACCCAACCGCACGUGAUAUCUCAAUUAUCACGCGCAUCACGCGCUCCGGGCUUCCACUGCCCGGCCCGGCUCCCCUCGCCAACAACUCAAACCCAAACGGAACAAUCCCGUCCCCGGUCAGAAGCGCCACGUUGGACCCCUCGCCCUGACCAAUCUCCUCGUGCGCGUGCGCAUUAGCCAGGUUCAGUAGCAGCGCCGCCGCAGCGUCCAUGGCUUGGCGGCGCUGCCCGCCUACGAGCUCGCAGGCUGCGAGGCACAGGGCGGGGGCGGCGGUCCGGGGAGCAGCGAAGACGAGGCGGUGCAUGGGCUCGUAAACCUCGAGCGGCUCUUUGAGGGGAAUGGUUUGUUUGAGGUAGGCUUCAAUGUCGGCCUGCAAGGAGGCCCAGUGGAGUUGGGGAGUGGGUAUUGUGAGGGGCGUGGGCCUGACGGGCAAUGCGGAACGGGCCUGGCGUGGGAAGCGAAGCCCGAAGCUGGCAUUGACGUUGAGAAAGAUGGUUCCAGGCAUUUUAAAAUGAACAAUAAUUAUAUGUGUGACGUAUUGAAGCGGAUGGCAGUGCCUAUUUAUGGACCAAAUGGAUUCAUGAGUUCAGUUAAGGAGGCUUAGUUGUUUCUGAUUUUAAUGUCUGCCAUUGCACUUUUGUCAAUUUCAGUAUGCUAACUCUUUUAUGUCAGGGAAAACUUUUAUUCUAGUUACUUUGACCCCAAAAACUCAAAUAUACAUAGUUCACAGAACAUUAUAAUAAUAUGAUAAUAUUUUUAAUUAAAAAUAAAUUAAAUAUAGUUAAAAUAUUAAUUUAUUUAUUUGUAAAGUGUACGUUUAUUACUCUGUCAAGUAUCAUCACCUAUGAGGCUCCGACAUGUCUCUUAAAUAGUGUGUAUAUGUGAGACACACAUAUCAAAUCCUGACACUUGUACGAUUUUUUAGGAUAUGUAUAGGUGAAGUGUCUAAUUUAAAAAAUAUUUGUUUGAUUUCUGAAAACUCUAGUUCGGUUCUAACAUGAUUUUAAAAAGAAGAAAUACAUUAAUUUUCUAAAACUUAAACUUAUUGUAUAAAUUUUUUAUUAUGAUUACAAAAAUAAAGAACAAAUCUUUUUGAACCAGCCAUGAGAAACAUCUUUUAAAAAAAUAUAAAACAUAUUUGUGCACAUAAAUCUUUAUUAUCAAUUUAUAUAAUUCAUAAUUAUAUAAUAUAUAGAUUUGUGUCUCAAUGUCCUACAUUUUAGAAAUUAUAUGUAUCUUUGUGUCUGUGUCCGUGUCGUAUUAGUUUUUGUGUUCAUGUUAGUGUUUGUGCUACAUAGGGUGCAAACUAUUCCAAAACCUUGAUCAAUACUUGAAAAUUUGAUUCUAAUGUUGUGUUUGGAUUGAAUAGAGGAUUUGUGAGGAGAAGAGGAAGUGGAUUUGUGAGGAUUAGAGAGAAUGUGUGAGGAUGUGUUAUAAUAAUUAUUACUACUUCAAUUCUCAAUAUCAAUUGUUCUUUUUGUUGUAUUGUUUGUGGUUUGAAUGUGUCAUUGUUAAUUUGAUAUGCAGAGAUGAUAAUGAAUGUGAAUGCGGAGAAGGCAGGGAGUGAAAGUGGAGGUGUUGGUUGGGUCAACUUUACAAAUCUAGAGGUGAUUGUUUAUAAAGCUUAUAUAGAUGAAGAUGGAGACAACAUAAUAUUAUAAAUUCGAUUUUCACCCUAUACAACCAACUAUAAAAUUGAUUUUCAUCAUAUAAAACCAUGCAUUCACUAAGAUGUGAAUAAGAAUUGAUUCCAACACCUACAAGACACAAAAGAGAAUUGACUGCUUUUUUUUCUCUGUAACUACAUGAAACAUAAAAUCAAUUUUAGAAAAUAAUUUCUUCGAGCUUGGGGAAAGUGUAUCGGUCGGUAUCGAACGAGCUAGUCUCGACCUCGGUGACCGACCGCUCGAGUCAAACAACACCUCGAGGCAUGCAAUAAAUAAACGGUAACAACAAUUACAACGGUGUUGAAUGAGUCAAUUUGUAUCCCGAAAUAUGUGGGAAUAUCUCUGACAAAUCAGCUAAAACAGAUUAAUUGAAAGAGGCACAUCCCUAGUAACAAGGGAUCACAACGCGUGUCAAAUAAUAACUAAUGUAUGGUCCAUCAGGGCCAAGACCCAUAAACCAAUUGUAUAAAUAAAGCUCUCUCUUGGGAGAAGUAAGGUACGUUUUUUACCAUUUACUAGAAUACACUAUUGACAAGAAUACUUACUUGAGCGUCAGAGUGCCUUUUACAGGUCACCUCCAACCGAACGUGAGCAUUGAGGAAGGAACCUAGAAGGAAGCGAAGCGAGGGUUACCGACACAUCAACAAUUGUAUGCCAAGUCAUAGGUACUAUCUAGACCAAUUUGCCUAUACAGGUACAGUUGUCACCAACCAUGGGACCAAGGUAGUAUUCAAUUUCAGCAACGGAUCAAUAUCAACAAACAAUGGUGUCUACAAGGAAUAAUACUAACAACAAUCGAAUGGCGAACGAACAAUUCGCUUUGAUCCAGACCCUCCAAGCACAAAUGGAGGAGUUAUAACAGAAAGGCAUUGCAGACCAACUACGAAAUGAAGAGGAGCGGUGUCGGAACGAGGAGGAGGGGCUCCUUCUUAAGGAGCAGAAUAAAGACUUAAAGCAACGACUUGAUGGGCAUGAGCGGGAAGAACAAUCUCAAACCCAUACUCAUCAAACUCAUUAGACUCACCAAAGUUCGAGAACACCCUUCUAUUAGACGAUAAGGAAGAUCCGAGAGGACAUCCAUUUACAAAUGAGAUAAUCGACGCGUAACUUCCUCCCAAGUGGAAGGACGGACCAUUAAACUCUACAAUGACUCCACCGAUCCGAACAAGCACUUAAAUGUCUUCAAGACACAGAUGACCAUUUACACAACCAAUAAGGCUACCACCUCUCUCCAAGAGGGACCACUCGGCUAGUUCACCCAACUUCUUCCUAACUCCGUGGAAAGCUUUAAACUCUUAACAACAAAGUUCAUCACGCAUUAUGCAACAAGUCGACCGUAUCAUACCUUAUCCAUGUCUCUCCUUAAUGUGCAGCAAGAAAAGAAGGAAUCAUUGCAGGCAUUUAUGGACAGGUUUAGAAAAGUAUGCAUGGGUAUUAAAAACCUGAUGCCGAAAAUAGUCAUACAUCACCUAAUCUCGUCAAUCCGACCAAAUCGGUUCACUGAAAGCUUAAUCAAAAGACAGCCAAAAACAUAGACAAAUUGAAGAACUGAGUAACCAAAACUACACUGACGAUCACAUGAGCAUUCGGUUUGACGCAAAAGAUAGAGGAAAAAGAAGGAUAAAGGAAAUCAACCCACCCUCCCCUUUUUCACAUUCGGGUUUAAAACUUAUCUAUACAGAAUUAUGAUCACUCAGCUUGUGGUGUGAACAGUGAAGUUAUGUUAGAGAUACAGAGCUCAUGAAAUAUCAUCUGGCUGAAUUUUUGGUGUGAUAAACUGAUAUAAUUUGAAGUUGAUUGGUUUUCUUUUAGGCCAUUUAGAUGAUCUAUAUGGUAGUAGAGCUUUCUCAAUGAAAUUCCACUCUAAUCUGUCACAUGCUUCAAAGCCAUUCCUUUUGUGCCUCUGCUCCUUCUCUUGAUCAAUUCAUGAAAAGUCCUCAUGGGCCAUGACAUUAUUUGUUCAUAUAUCUGAAUACGUUUAUACUUUAAAUUUAUUGAAACAAAAGUUUGGUCCUCAAAUAUACAAAACUUAUUAUAACUCUUAAUAUUAUUAUUUUAAUAUUUUUUAUAUUACAUAAUUUUUUAUAUUUAUUUUUAAACUCAUAGUUAUAUACAACUCAAAAUGGUAAAACUAUAAUUUUUCAUAAGAAAAUGAUAGUUUAACAAAAUUUAGAAUUAAAUAAUAUAAAAAUAUAUUAAAAUAAUAAUAUCGAGAAUUAUAAUGUUAUAUUAUAAAAAAAAAAUGUAAGUUUUCUAUAUUUGUAAAAGCUAGUAGAAAUUAAGAAAAGUGGAGAUGAUGCUAAGAUCUGUGUUCUUGAAAAGAUGCAACUCCUUCAGUGCCAGAUUUCUGUGUUCUUCAACAUCUUCCUUGUUCAAAGCCCUCUGCGCCAUUCCCCUCAUCAUCCCCACAUGAAACCCAAACCUUCUCAGCCGCUCAAUCUCCUCCUCACUCCCACCGCCCACCACCGC